rnacentral:pre_miRNA from 1 species
GGGCCCAUCUUCCAGCACAGUGUUGGAUGGUCUAAUCGCGAAGCUCCUAACACUGUCUGGUAAAGAUGGCCCC